AACAUUUAAGAACAAUUACAUGGCAAGUCUAAACAUAUAGUUUUAUGUAAUGUAGUUUCCUCGAGGUUUAGCUCAACUUGUACGUUUACGAGUGUUUAUGAGUUACAGAUUGUGAUUUCCAGACUGACUAUGUCGUAAGGUUUUAAGGUUACAAGCUGGGCUAAUAUUGUUAUUAGAGUAGGUUUCCACCAGGCAGAAUACCGCGUAGUGUGCUAUCAGCGUCAUAAGGCAGGAAAAUAACAUUAAAG